AUUGAACGCUAGCGGGAUGCUUUACACAUGCAAGUCGAACGAGUGGCGGACGGGUGAGUAAUAUAUCGGAACGUUCCCAGUAGCGGGGGAUAACUACUCGAAAGAGUGGCUAAUACCGCAUACUCUUGGAGCGGCCUAUAUCGGAUUAGCUAGUUGGUGGGGUAAAGGCUCACAAAGGAAACGAUCCGUAGCUGGUUUGAGAGGACGAACAGCAACACGGGAACGGGGACACGGCCCAGACUCUAAGGGAAGUAAGCAGUGGGAAAUUUUGGACAAGGGGGGAAACCCUGAUCCAGACAUCCGGCGUGUAUGAGAAGGCCUUCGGGUUGUAAAGUACUUUAGGCAGGGAAGCGGUAUCGGAAGAGUAAGCACCGGCUAACUACGUGCCAGCAGCCGCGGUAAUAC
rnacentral:rRNA from 1 species